GAUGAAGAACGUAGCGAAAUGCGAUAAGUAAUGUGAAUUGCAGAAUUCAGUGAAUCAUCGAAUCUUUGAACGCAUCUUGCGCUCCUUGGUAUUCUGAGGAGCAUGCCUGUUUGAGUGUCAUUAAAUUCUCAACUACACUGACUUUGAAUUGGUGUGGCUUGGAUUUGGGGGGAAAAUUGUUGUGGGCUUUUUGUAUAGUCUGCUCCCCUGAAAUUGAUUAGCGGUACCUUUGUGGAACUGUCUACAGGUGUGAUAAUUAUCUACAUCUUAGACAUCUGCUGGAAUGCUGCUUUCUAAACCUUACUUGUAUUGACAAUCUUGACCUCAAAUCAGGUAGGACUACCCGCUUAACUUAAGCAUAUCAAUAAGCGGAGGA
rnacentral:misc_RNA from 1 species